rnacentral:misc_RNA from 1 species
UCAAACUUGGUCAUUUAGAGGAAGUAAAAGUCGUAACAAGGUUUCCGUAGGUGAGUUAAGAUAAUCUUCUCCCGAAACCCGACUUUUGACAGGAGCUGACGAAAAUCAAUAGGUGAACCUGCGGAAGGAUCAUUAUCGAGUUCAGAGAAUUUUUCUCAAACUCCAACCCACUGGUAAAAAGCUACUGAUAUCUUUGUGGGAGCGUGUCUUGCUACCGCCGGCUUUUCUACGCUGGAAAGUCUCCCCAAAGAAUUUUUAAAUCUGAAUUUACAUUGAAUUCUGGGUGGGAAAAAUUGAAUUAAAACUUUUAACAACGGAUCUCUUGGCUCUGGCAUCGAUGAAGAACGCAGC